AUUGAACGCUGGCGGCAUGCUUUACACAUGCAAGUCGAACGGCAGCGCGGGCUUCGGCCUGGCGGCGCGUGGCGAACGGGUGAGUAAUGCAUCGGAAUGUGCCCAGUAGUGGGGGAUAGCCCGGCGAAAGCCGGAUUAAUACCGCAUACGACCUGAGGGUGAAAGCGGGGGACCGAAAGGCCUCGCGCUAUUGGAGCGGCCGAUGUCGGAUUAGCUAGUUGGUGGGGUAAAGGCUUACCAAGGCGACGAUCCGUAGCUGGUCUGAGAGGACGACCAGCCACACUGGGACUGAGACACGGCCCAGACUCCUACGGGAGGCAGCAGUGGGGAAUCUUGGACAAUGGGGGCAACCCUGAUCCAGCCAUGCCGCGUGCGUGAAGAAGGCCUUCGGGUUGUAAACCGCUUUUGUUCGGGAAGAAAUCCUCUGGGCUAAUACCCCGGGGGGAUGACGGUACCGGAAGAAUAAGCACCGGCUAACUACGUG
rnacentral:rRNA from 1 species